rnacentral:sRNA from 1 species
UGAUAUUGCUCAGUAGACCGACGGUCCGC